rnacentral:misc_RNA from 1 species
GAGAAUUUGAAAGAUACUGAGAACAAGAUGUUCGGGGUUGUUUACAGUAGGAAAAGAAAGAGAAUGGGUGUAGAAAGCCAGGAUAACUCUGGGAAAAUGUAUGGGAUUCAGUUUUCGAGAAGGCAGCGUAAGAAGCAAGGGGAUGGUGACAGUUUUGUGGGUUUUGAGCGGGCGCUUCUUGUUGUUGUUCUUGAGGGCUAUUGCAGUAGUGGGUUAACUCCUUUUCUGAAUUUGGUUUUGGGGUAUGUUAGGAGGGCUAGUUUGAGGAUUUCCGAACUUACUACUUUCUUGUCGUCCGAGCCUGUUAACAGUGCCUUUGCUUCAAAUGGAAUUCGUUUUCUGCAGGAUACACCUGCUAAGAGAACUGGAAUUUGCAAGAUUUUCGGGGUUCUGAGUAAUGUGCCAAUAUUUUCUUUGGAUUUUUCUGCAAUUCCUUUCUGUUUUGUGUAUAUGCACCUCUGUUUGCUACUUAGAGUUAAGUGUCUGUCUCUCGCACCUGUGAAUACCUCUUUGGACGAGGACUCAUGUGAUGAGAUGAUGAGCGAAGAUGAUCAUUUAUGUGGUCUUUUGAAGACUGACACAGCACCAGAAACUGAUAAUUCUGGAAAUAAGAUGGUGUUACAUCCAUCUGUGAGAGCGUCCAAAUUAGCUGGCCGGAACAACCAAUACCGAAGUGGCUUAAAUUCUCGUGGCAUUCAAAAGAGGAGGAGUUCACUUAGGAGGAGGAAAGCUAGAAAUCCUUCCCUGGUUGGUGUGCACAAAGCUAAUGGUGCUUCAGUUUCAGAUCUAUUAAGUAGUAGGAAAAUUGGUAUCCCUUUUUCUUCAGCAGUGUCUAAGAACAAGCUUAGGAGUUCAUUGCGGAGUAGCGCCACAAGAAACCUCCAUGAAGUAAGUCCUAGCAUGGUUGAAGUAACUCAGACCAUGGACUCAUUAAACUGCUCUGCUAAUGUACUGGUUGUUGAAUCAGAUAGAUGUUACAGGAUAGAAGGGGCCACCGUUACUUUAGAAAUCUCUGAUUCAAAAGAGUGGUUGCUUGUAGUGAAGAAAGAUGGGUUGACGAGUUACAUUCACUUGGCACAAAAGAAUAUGCGACCUUGUUCUUCGAAUCGUAUCACUCAUGACAUAAUAUGGACAGGGGAGGAAAGUUGGAAGCUAGAGUUUUCUAAUCGAAAUGACUGGCUCAUUUUCAAGGAUCUUUAUAAGGCAUGUACUGAUCGCAACAUAUCAGGUCCUGUCCUCUAAAGCCAUUCCUGUGCCUGGAGUAUGUGAAGUUUUUGGAUAUGAAGAGGACAAUAGUAUGCCCUUUUCUAGACCGGAAGCAUACAUUUCUUUAAAUAAUGAUGAGGUAGCUAGAGCUCUGGCUAGGAAGACUGCAAUUUAUGACAUGGAUUCUGAAGAUGAGGGAUGGCUGAAAAAGUUCAAUGAUGAUAUAUUUGUUGAAACUGAGCAACAAGAGCAUCUUUCAGAGGAUAAUUUUGAGUUAAUAAUUGAUGCCUUGGAGAAGGGUUUUUAUUGCAAUCCAGAUGAUUUUGCAGAUGAGAAAGCAGCUGUAAAUCUGUGUAUAGAUUUGGGUAGGAGGGAAGUAGUUGAAGCUGUGUAUGGUUAUUGGAUGAAAAAACGGAAGCAGAGACGAUCAGCACUUCUUAGGAUUUUUCAGGGACAGCAAUCAAAAAAAGCUCCACUGAUUCCAAAACCUGUUCUACGUAAGAGAAGGUCAUUCAAGCGGCAAGCCAGCCAAUUUGGAAGAGGCAAGCAACCUAGUCUGUUGCAAGUAAUGGCUGCUGAACAUGAUGCUUUGGAAGAACAGAAUGCUAUGCGUAAAGUAGAGGCAGCUAAAACUUCAGCGAAGAGAUCUGUGGAAUCAGCUAUUCUUAAACGCCGACGGGCUCAGAUUCUUAUGGAGAAUGCUGAUUUAGCAAUUUACAAAGCUACAAUGGCACUCAGAAUUGCUGAAGGUGCCCAACUGGUCAAUUCAACGGAUGUUGCUGUCCAACACUUAUUUGAUUGUCAGGCAUAGGUGUAUUUAACGCUUUUUAAGAUGGCCAGUUACAUUUAUUGAAAGCAGGACAACAUCGUAGACAACCUUGGUCAAUUCAACAGCUGUUUUGAAGCCCUGGAGAUAACCUUUUGCAGAAAGUAUUGUAAUUUUGUAUAGAUUUUUUUAUUGAAUGUACAUUCUGUAUUAUUAUAACCUCACACCAAAUGAUUUUAACAAGGGGAUUUGGUUGAUUUCCUUGUGUAAAAAAUGGGGAGAGAAAAAAAAAAUCAUAAGUUUACAAUACUUUCUGCAAAAGGUUAUCU